rnacentral:rRNA from 1 species
CCUANGGGAGGCAGCAGUGGGGAAUAUUGGACAAUGGGCGCAAGCCUGAUCCAGCCAUGCCGCGUGGGUGAAGAAGGCCUUCGGGUUGUAAAGCCCUUUUGUCCGGAAAGAAAAGCACGGGGUUAAUACCUUCGUGUUCUGACGGUACCGGAAGAAUAAGCACCGGCUAACUUCGUGCCAGCAGCCGCGGUAAUACGAAGGGUGCAAGCGUUACUCGGAAUUACUGGGCGUAAAGCGUGCGUAGGUGGUGAGUUAAGUCUGUCGUGAAAUCCCCGGGCUCAACCUGGGAAUGGCGAUGGAUACUGGCUCGCUAGAGUGCGGUAGAGGAGAGUGGAAUUCCCGGUGUAGCAGUGAAAUGCGUAGAGAUCGGGAGGAACAUCAGUUGCGAAGGCGGCUCUCUGGACCAGCACUGACACUGAGGAACGAAAGCGUGGGGAGCAAACAGGAUUAGAUACCCGANUANUC